UAAAUCACCCAAACAUAUUCAUUUGACACAUUUGAUUGCCUAGUAUAUCGAUGGACCAUCAGGAUAUUAGCGCCUCGUUUUGCAUAAUUCAAUUAAAUCUCAAUAUCCAUGUUUACUCAUUAACCAUUAACCGAUACAUUACACAUGCAUUUAAUUAUCGAUACAUUCUCUAUUGGCUCAAAUUUGAGGAUGGAUACACAGAUAAAUCCACCAACACACCAGCAUACGCACCAAAGUACUAGUCAAGAUUAAAUGCAUCGAUCCCACCAACCACACCAGAACACUCGUGCCCUCAUGGUAUUUGAGCUGGUGAUACAUUCUCGCCUCCUAAGAUUUAGAGAACUGUCAUAAUAUAAUAUGUGCCCAGCGCUAGAUCUCUCGCCUAUCAAAAUAGACUCUAUAGUAUGUCAAUUAUACCUGCAACUUUAUAUUCCAAAACUAUUAAUAGGACAUUUUCCUUUAUCAUGUAUAAUCAAAUCAUGUUACAUAGGAAAAUAACAUCCCAAUAUCACAUUCAACCAUAUAACAUAGAUAACCUUUUGAUGUCAUCAUUACCACAAGUACACAGUCCAACAUAUACCAAACCAUUUUCACCAUAUACAUAACAUCAUAGUGCAAUCUCUUAUUUAAUUUACAUAUUUCAAGCAUAUCUUGAGCUUAUCAGUAAUUAAGUACAUAUAUACCUCGAAUUGUGUUUGAUGAAAAUAUUAUUUGAUUAUGUUAACUGCCUAUUAAAGCAUAAAUUGAGGUCAAGUUAUGAGUGCACAACUUUACCUUUCAAUUAACCAAUUUAAACAUAAACCAUUCUUAGUAUUCAACACAAAUCAACUUAAACAAUGAAUCAUAUAACACCUUGUUUCAAUAAGAACUAAUAUAGUCAUUUAAACUCAACAUUGUACAAUCUUUCAAAAAUAAUUUCAACCUAAUUAAUUCUAUGUCUUAAUUACUUAGUAAUUAAGUGAAAUCAAUUAUGCUAGCACAAAUCAAAAUUGUUGCCCCUAUUUCGAUUCACAUUUGUCCCUCAAUGUUUCAUCCUUGUUGUUAGCUACGUUCGAUAAAUUUAAUUACGAAAAUUCAUUAGUCAAACUUUUCAAACAUAUGUUACAACAAUUUAAACAUGAAUGCAUUUAUUUUAAUUUGAUCAUUCGAAUUACUAAUGUCCGCAAUACGUAUAUCUCACAAUUUACCUUAUCAAAUUUAAAUACAACUUCAUAAAUAUAGUACAAUAACCUCAUAAGACUAUUAUUCACUAUCAAACCUCAAAAUUUUAUCACUUAAAAUUAGUUCUUUACUAACAAAUAAUUAAUUCUAUAAUCUAAACUUGAUUCAAGGUUAUACCAACAAUUUCCACUAUCUUUCAAUCAUGAUUUUAGCACAACCAAGCUCAGUUAUAUUCAAUUUCAUGUUUUCAAUCUUCAAUACAUUAUAAAUUCAUUAAUGACAAGUUGAGAAAAACUUCAUAAUAGCACAAACUAAAAAUUCGGUUAAGCAUAUCAUGUUUUCUUAACCAAAAUUCCAUGAACAAUUUGUAAAAUGUGUUCACUUACCUCAAGUUAAUUUGGCCGUGUAACACUCCCACGCCCGAAACCUUCACCGGAGUCAAGCUUGAGGUGUUACUAAACUUAUCUUACCUUUUAAACAACUCUAAACCACUUAUUUUAAUUUUUGGAAUAAACUGUUUUUCUGCGUCAUAGUUGCUUAAAAAUUCAUUUCUCGAGUUUCAAAACUCAAAAUUAAGAUCCGUAAAUUUUUCCUGAAACUAGACUCAUAUAUAUCUACUAAUUUUUUUCUAGAAUUUUUGACUUGGCCAAUUAGUACAGUUUAUUAGUUAAAGUUUUCCCUGUUUCAAAACUCGACUGCACUGACCUCUUCUUACUACGAACCAUUUUUAUUCCUGUACAAAAUUCAUAUGACUAAGACGUUUGUUUUUACCAAAACUAGAUUCAACAAGGAUUCUGACCAUAUAAAUUACACCUUCUAAUUAUUUUUUUACUAUUUAUGGUGAAUUUUCAAAGUUGAAACAGGGGAUCCAGAAAUUGCUCUGACCCUGUUUCACUAAAACUCAGAUAUCUCAUAAAAUAUAAUACAUUUACCUGUUUUUCUUAUUCCAUAAGAAAAUAUACAUAAUAAGAUUUAAUUUCAUAUAUUAUUCAUCUUCAAACUAUGUUUCUACAAUUUUUAGUGAUUUUUCAAAGUUACAUCAUUUCUGUUACUUGAAUCUGUUUUUAGGUUACUUUCACAUUUUUCAUAAUUUUUAUAUGAUAAUCAUCAUUCAAUCAUACAUUUUAAUAAACAUGUAUAUCAUCGGCUAUUUUAUUAGCUAAUCACUAGCAAGUAUUUACACAUCAUUCAUUGUUCAUAUUAUACCAAAAGUAGCUAAGUUUCUAUACAUGCCAUACCCAAAACAAAACGUCUAGUUAUACCGAGUUAUUUCUUUGAUAGUGUGAUCGGCCUCCGACGUUUCCUUUGAUCCCCGAGUGACUAGAUAAGUACUAUAAGAAGAAGAAAAUAAAGAGAUUAAGUACUAGGCUUAGUAAGCUUACAAGCAAAUAAAUCACAACAUUCAACAUAAUGGAUAAUUAUGCAUAAUAUCAUCUAACAUCAUAAAUUUCUUUACUUCUCAAUUUCUAUCUUCUUCUUUAUUCCCUUACCUUAUUUCUUACCUGACUUUUCCUUUUUCAUAAGUAUAAUCUACUUUUCCUUUGCUGUUAAUUCACUAUAAUUUAACUUGUAUCCUGACCCGUUGAACCACUCGGAAUACUAAGGACACUAGGGUCGUUCCUGUCUAUCAAUAUCCUGCCAAUGCCAUGUCUUUGACAUGGACUUACAUGAAUUAUUCCUGUCUCCAAUGCCAUAUAUAAUAUGGACUUACAUGGCUCAAUCCUGUCUCCAAAGCCAUAUUUCUAAUAUGGACUUACAUGGCUCAUUUCUGUUCUGUCCUGUCAACCCUAAUAUCCUAACAUUCCUAGGGUUCAACCGGGGCUUUCUAACACUUUUUCUCUGUCACUUCACCUUAAAUUCGACUUUAAAUAUUUUCAUAACAUAAAUAUAUAAAUGCUGGAAAUUGACAAUAAUAAUGUAAAAUAAAAGAAUAUUGCAUUUAUUUACUGUAACUUACCUUGAUACAAAACGUGACUAAACUUUACAAUUUAGUCCUUUACUUUUUCUUUUCCCCGAUCUACUCCCGAAUUUCGUUCUUCUUGAUCUAUAAUAGCAAAUUUAACUUAUUUAAUAUUCACAUUUAUUAAAGCAGUCCUUGACCCAAACUUUUGCAAAAUUAUAUUUUUACCCCUAAACUUCCACAUAUUUACACUUUUGCCCCAAGGCUCGUAAAUUAAACUUCAUCCGAUUUUCUUAUGUUUUAUGACAUGCUGAUCAUUUUUCCCUUCUAUGGCAAUAUCAAAAUCACACUCUAACAUAUACUUAUGACUAUUGGUAUUUUUUUCCAAUUUAAGCCCUUUUACUCGUUUUCACUUAAAACCGAGUAGCAUAAGUUGUUUAACAUAAUUUAAAACCUCAUAUUCUAUCAUAAAACACCAAAAUACACAAAUUUCAGCCAUGGGUAUUUUUCCAAAUAUGAACCCUAGGUUGAAUUAUUGCUAAAAUAAGCUUAAUCAAGUUACCGGGACUCUAAAAACGUAAAGAUCAUUAAAAACGGGGCAUGGAAUCACUUACUAUGAAGCUUGAAAGUUGAAGAAACCCCAGCUAUGGAGGAGAGCAAAAAUCGGCAGAAACUAA
rnacentral:lncRNA from 1 species